AUAAUGACUCUCGGCAACGGAUAUCUAGGCUCUUGCAUCGAUGAAGAACGUAGCGAAAUGCGAUACUAGGUGUGAAUUGCAGACCCGUGAACCAUCGAGUCUUUGAACGCAUGUUGCGCCCGAAAGCCAUUAGGUUGAGGGCACGUCUGCCUGGGCGUCACAU
rnacentral:rRNA from 1 species